GAUGAACGCUGGCGGCGUGCCUAAUACAUGCAAGUCGAGCGAACAGACGAGGAGCUUGCUCCUCUGACGUUAGCGGCGGACGGGUGAGUAACACGUGGAUAACCUACCUAUAAGACUGGGAUAACUUCGGGAAACCGGAGCUAAUACCGGAUAAUAUAUUGAACCGCAUGGUUCAAUAGUGAAAGACGGUUUUGCUGUCACUUAUAGAUGGAUCCGCGCCGCAUUAGCUAGUUGGUAAGGUAACGGCUUACCAAGGCAACGAUGCAUAACCGACCUGAGAGGGUGAUCGGCCACACUGGAACUGAAACACAGUCCAGACUCCUACGGGAAACAGCAGUAGGGAAUCUUCCGCAAAAGGCGAAAGCCUGACGGAGCAACGCCGCGUAAUUGAUGAAGAUCUUCGGAUCGUAAAACUCUGUUAUUAGGGAAGAACAAAUGUGUAAGUAACUAUGCACGUCUUGACGGUACCUAAUCAGAAAGCCACGGCUAACUACGUG
rnacentral:rRNA from 1 species